AAACCGUUGAAAGGGAAGCGAAUGGAGUUAGCAAUUCGCCUCGCCAGAUUCAGUUUUUCGCGUCGCGCGACCGCCGUCCUCUCGAUCUUCGUAGACGAGUGUCGUCGGUUUGGGUUACGCGAGGGGCGCACUUCUGGCGGGCGAGCGUCAACUUGGGUCUCGCGUUUUCGAGCAAGAAGGUCGUCGGGAAGGUGAACCGUUCCUUCGGGCGCGGUUGUUAAGCCCGUCGAACGUACGGCUCGUGCGGGACCGUGGCUAAUGAUUUGGCGACGCGUGCCUCUUCUGGGGCUGGAGUCCCGUUUUGUUCGUUCGGCUGUCGACCGUGGCGGACGGCACGCCUGUGCGCUCGAACCGCAGCCGGUCGACAUUUCGGUGAUCACACAUGACGCGUCGAGGAAGUUGACGACCAUACGGCUCUAUCCGACCCGUCUUGAAACACGGACCAAGGAGUCUAACAUGUGCGCGAGUCUCUGGGCGAUCGAAACCCGAGGGCGAAAUGAAAGUAAAGGCGGCUCCGGCCGCUGAGGUGAGAAGCGCCGGCCACGCGUCGGCGCCGCAUCAUCGACCGACCUAUUCUACUCCUAGAACGGUUUGAGUAAGAGCGUGCCUGUUGGGACCCGAAAGAUGGUGAACUAUGCCUGAAUAGGGUGAAGCCAGCGGAAACACUGGUGGAAGCUCGUAGCGAUUCUGACGUGCAAAUCGAUCGUCGAAUUUGGGUAUAGCGGCGAAAGACUAAUCGAACCAUCUAGUAGCUGGUUCCCUCCGAAGUUUCCCUUAGGAUAGCUGGAGCUCGGAUGCAGUUUA
rnacentral:rRNA from 1 species